rnacentral:rRNA from 1 species
UCAGGAUGAACGCUGGCGGCGUGCUUAACACAUGCAAGUCGAACGAUGAACCUCACUUGUGGGGGGAUUAGUGGCGAACGGGUGAGUAACACGUGAGUAACCUGCCCUUGACUCUGGGAUAAGCCUGGGAAACUGGGUCUAAUACCGGAUAUGACCUUCCAUCGCAUGGUGGUUGGUGGAAAGCUUUUGUGGUUUUGGAUGGACUCGCGGCCUAUCAGCUUGUUGGUGGGGUAAUGGCCUACCAAGGCGACGACGGGUAGCCGGCCUGAGAGGGUGACCGGCCACACUGGGACUGAGACACGGCCCAGACUCCUACGGGAGGCAGCAGUGGGGAAUAUUGCACAAUGGGCGCAAGCCUGAUGCAGCGACGCCGCGUGAGGGAUGACGGCCUUCGGGUUGUAAACCUCUUUCAGUAGGGAAGAAGCGAGAGUGACGGUACC